rnacentral:rRNA from 1 species
UACGUAGGGUGCAAGCGUUGUCCGGAAUUAUUGGGCGUAAAGAGCUCGUAGGCGGUUAGUCGCGUCUGCUGUGAAAACUCGGGGCUUAACUCCGGGCCUGCAGUGGGUACGGGCUGACUAGAGUGCGGUAGGGGAGACUGGAAUUCCUGGUGUAGCGGUGAAAUGCGCAGAUAUCAGGAGGAACACCCGUGGCGAAGGCGGUUCUCUGGGACGGUACUGACGCUGAGACGCGAAAGCGUGGGGAGCGAACAGG